rnacentral:rRNA from 1 species
GACGAACGCUGGCGGCGUGCUUAACACAUGCAAGUCGAACGGAAAGGCCCUGCUUUUGUGGGGUGCUCGAGUGGCGAACGGGUGAGUAACACGUGAGUAACAUGCACUUGACUUUGGGAUAACUUCAGGAAACUCGGGCUCAUAUCCGAUAGGAGCUCCUGCUGCAUGGUGGGGGUUGGAAAGUUUCGGCGGUUGUGGAUGGACUGGCGGCUUAUCAGCUUGUUGGUGGGGUAGUGGCUUACCAAGGCUUUGACGGGUAGCCGGCCUGGGAGGGUUACCGGCCACAAUGCGACUGAGAUACGGCGCAGACGCCUACGGGAGGCAGCAGGGGGAAAUAUGGCGCAGUGGGCGGAAGCCUGAUGCGGCGAUGCCGCGUGCGGGAUGACGUCCUUCGAGGUGUAAACCGAUUUCGCCUGUGACGAAGCGGGAGUGACGGUAAUGGGUAAAGAAGCACCGGCUAACUACGUG